UUGGGGUACAUUUUCGUUCUUUCAAGUACAAUUUUGACCCUGUACCUUGUAUUGGUACUAAUAGGUACCAUUUCGGGUACAUAAAUAAUGUACCUUUUCACCAAGGGACCAUAUUGUACCUAUGGGUACAAAAAGCCCAUGGACUGUCACUCAGAAGUUGAUAGGGGAGGAGAUUCGGGAGCAACCGUUAUUUUUUCGUCUCACUCAAAGUAUUGAAAGUAAUGGAGGAGCAGUUUUCAGCAGAGGAGCUUGGUGUGGGGAAACGUGCUGUGGUGCUGGCAUAAUCUUUAUGGAACAGGAGGCAACGCUAUUCAGAGAUAACCACCAAGGCAGAAUGUUGGCGUGUGGAAGUACCUCUACUCAGAGUGAUAGAGAAAACUAUGGCUCUGCUUUUACUGAAGGAAUGGCUACCGGAGCGGGCAGCUUUAUGAAUAUAAGGUGAAAAGGAUGUAUGGAGAAGUUUUGGGAGAGUCAGACAGUCCACGGAACUUGCAUUGACUUAGCAAUGAUCUAUGCCAGACGUACAACCCCUGCUGUCAUUGGUGAUACCACUGCUUGAAAAUAUGUCAACGUCCUGUAGAUCAAGUAAGGUUCCAGUCGAAGUCCUCCUGAAGAAUUUGUUGGAUUUCUGCCAGUUUUUGAUAUUGAACUUUAGUGCCUUUUGAGACUCUUGGCUUUUUAAUGGCACGCCUCAUUCUACCCAAAUGGAAGGAUUGGAGUGUGUUUAUAUUGUAUAUGUUUAUAGGCUUGCUAAUAUUUGCUUAGGCUUUCACAUUGUUUUCUGAGAUACUUCUCAAUUAUGUCAUUGUGACUCAUUGUAUCACACUUCAAGACGCGUAUCUUUUACUCAAUUAGUGUAUGCACUGUGAAUCCAAACAUGAGAAUUCUAAGAUUAUAGCAACUGCAAAGUUACUGCAAGGACAAUGUUAGUUUUGUAAAAACCUUAAGUGACAAGCACAAGAUGCGAUAGUGCUGGGAGCUUUUCUCUUGUAACAUUUUAAUGCAUUUGUAAUGGUGACGGUAAGCAGAUACUACAUUUUCAUCUCAUAUGUUAGUAUUAACAUGAACUUAAAAGCAUGCAAGGUUUUUGUGUGUGAAGUGGUUAACUCAAAUAUUGGUAUAAUAUAGAUCAAGGUUAUUAAUGUUGAUCACCUAUGGUGCAAGUUAAUCAUUUUUUUCCCUCUGCAUAUAAACACAAUGUGGAAGCAAAAUAUUGAGAUCAAACUGUUUUAUAUUUACACUUACAUAAAGAGUUACAACAUGUUUUACGUUAAGCAUAUUGAUUAAUGUAAGAUACUUUGAUGUUUUGAUAUGAAUGUGUUUUUAAUAUGAACAUGUUAACUUUUAUGUACCUGUAUUCAUGUGGA